rnacentral:rRNA from 1 species
CCAAUAGCGUAUAUUAAAGUUGUUGUGGUUAAAAAGCUCGUAGUUGAACCUUGGGCCUGGCUGGCCGGUCCGCCUCACCGCGUGCACUGGUCCGGCCGGGCCUUUCCCUCUGCGGAACCCCAUGCCCUUCACUGGGUGUGGCGGGGAAACAGGACUUUUACUUUGAAAAAAUUAGAGUGCUCAAGGCAGGCCUAUGCUCGAAUACAUUAGCAUGGAAUAAUAGAAUAGGACGUGUGGUUCUAUUUUGUUGGUUUCUAGGACCGCCGUAAUGAUUAAUAGGGACAGUCGGGGGCAUCAGUAUUCAAUUGUCAGAGGUGAAAUUCUUGGAUUUAUUGAAGACUAACUACUGCGAAAGCAUUUGCCAAGGAUGUUUUCAUUAAUCAGUGAACGAAAGUUAGGGGAUCGAAGACGAUCAGAUACCGUCGUAGUCUUAACCGUAAACUAUGCCGACUAGGGAUCGGGCGAUGUUCUUUUUUUUGACUCGCUCGGCACCUUACG